CUCCAACAGCCAAUGAAUAGAACCACGGGGCGGGUUUUCAGGCACCGAAUCAGAGAGAGACAGAGAACAAGAGGGAAGGUUGAGAGAGGGUCACGUAACUGUAAUAAAACGGAAAGGGUCAGAACUCACAAGUCACAGCUUCACAUAGGGCACAACUGGGGGCGGCUAAUACGGAGCUGAGGGGGCUAACGAGACACUGGCUUUUGGUGAGCCUUUUGAGUCAUCUUGGUAUUUGCUGGCUGGCUCAUUUUAUCUCCUCUCUUCUCUUUCCCGUAGCUGUGAGACAAAAGGUUCUGUUGACUAAGGGCCCAUAGAUUGAUCAUGGCCACCUUUCACAGGGUUUCUUUCUGUUUUAUUUUCCGGCUGUGAUUAAAACACAAAUAUUGGAACGCAGCCCUGCUCCCCAGUCCUCCUCACAAUGUGGCGAUGUGAUAAUGCAAGAAUUCCCACAAAAAUCACUUUUUUAGUUCUCGUCCUGGAGGAGAAGGAGGUUUCAGGUCCUGUUGCAAUAGCACCCAUGCGCCGUAUUGAAAGAGGGUAAAAAAACCGACGGUUCCUCCAUCCUGUUCCCUAGUACUCGUGCCCACGUGGUUUCUCGGCUGCUUCUUGUCCUUAUGUUUUCUUGUAAACUCUUUUCUUUUUUAAUUCUUUAUGCUUUUUUUUGUUGUUGUUUUGUUGGUAAGAAUAUUUUUUAGGUUAAUUUUAAUUUACCCCAUAGGAUUUGAACGGAAUCCAAGGUGUCCCUUUAAGGUUUAAAUUAUUGCAAUGUCAUCCUUCAAGUUUCAUUAA